UCAGCUCACUGCAAUCUCCACCUCCUGGC
rnacentral:piRNA from 1 species